rnacentral:rRNA from 1 species
CCUACGGGUGGCAGCAGUGAGGAAUAUUGGUCAAUGGUCGGGAGACUGAACCAGCCAAGCCGCGUGAGGGAGGAAGGUACAGAGUAUCGUAAACCUCUUUUGUCAGGGAACAAAGGCGGGGACGUGUCCCCGGAUGAGUGUACCUGAAGAAAAAGCAUCGGCAAACCCCGUGCCAGCCGCCGCGGUAAUACGGGGGAUGCGAGCGUUAUCCGGAUUGAUUGGGCUUAAAGGGUGCGCAGGCGGUCUGUUAAGUCAGCGGUCAAAGCCCGGGGCCCAACCCCGGCCCGCCGUUGAAACUGGCAGUCUCGAGUUGGAGAGAAGUAUGCGGAAUGCGCGGUGUAGCGGUGAAAUGCAUAGAUAUCUCGCAGAACUCCGAUUGCGAAGGCAGCAUGCCGGCUCCACACUGACGCUGAGGCACGAAAGCGUGGGUAUCGAACAGGAUUAGAUACCCCUGUAGUC